rnacentral:rRNA from 1 species
UACGUAGGGGGCAAGCGUUGUCCGGAUUUAUUGGGCGUAAAGAGCGUGUAGGCGGCUGGGUAGGUCCGCUGUGAAAACUCGAGGCUUAACCUCGAGACGUCGGUGGAAACCAUCCAGCUAGAGUCCGGAAGAGGAGAGUGGAAUUCCUGGUGUAGCGGUGAAAUGCGCAGAUAUCAGGAAGGUCACCCGUGGCGAAAGCGGCUCUCUGGGACGGUACUGACGCUGAGACGCGAAAGCGUGGGGAGCGAACAGG